AGUGAACGCUGGCGGUAGGCCUAACACAUGCAAGUCGAACGGCAGCACAGUAAGAGCUUGCUCUUACGGGUGGCGAGUGGCGGACGGGUGAGGAAUACAUCGGAAUCUACUUUUUCGUGGGGGAUAACGUAGGGAAACUUACGCUAAUACCGCAUACGACCUACGGGUGAAAGCAGGGGAUCUUCGGACCUUGCGCGAUUGAAUGAGCCGAUGUCGGAUUAGCUAGUUGGCGGGGUAAAGGCCCACCAAGGCGACGAUCCGUAGCUGGUCUGAGAGGAUGAUCAGCCACACUGGCACUGAGACACGGUCCAGACUCCUACGGGAGGCAGCAGUGGGGAAUAUUGGACAAUGGGCGCAAGCCUGAUCCAGCCAUACCGCGUGGGUGAAGAAGGCCUUCGGGUUGUAAAGCCCUUUUGUUGGGAAAGAAAGGCAGCAGGUUAAUACCCCGCUGUUCUGACGGUACCCAAAGAAUAAGCACCGGCUAACUUCGUG
rnacentral:rRNA from 1 species